CCACGGCCGCCCAGGCCCCGCCCUGCCACGUCAUCCGGCUCCGGAUCGCGACAGCGCGCGCCGCGUCGGGAUAAAGUUCCGCUAGGGGCCCGCUGGCGGCGGCGUUUCUGGGCCCCUGUGGCCGCUACGGCCUGGCAGGCCUGGGAUGACAAUGCUUGAGGAGCCCUCGCUGGUGCUGCCCUCCUGCCUGCCCUCUGCUUGGAACACCUCCACUAAGUCUAUGAAACUGAGGGUGACAGUGAAGCUAAAAUGGGUCAGAGGUGCCUAGAAGGCCAUGGCUCCCACCCCUGCUGUCAUCCUUGGAACAACAGUCCUAGGAUGAAGGUGGGUAGCUUCAGUCCUAGGGCCAACAGCACAUCUGAGGGAAUCAGGGCUUCUGGGACACAGGCUGCAG